GAUGAACGCUGGCGGCGUGCCUAAUACAUGCAAGUCGAGCGAACAGACGAGGAGCUUGCUCCUCUGACGUUAGCGGCGGACGGGUGAGUAACACGUGGAUAACCUACCUAUAAGACUGGGAUAACUUCGGGAAACCGGAGCUAAUACCGGAUAAUAUAUUGAACCGCAUGGUUCAAUAGUGAAAGACGGUUUUGCUGUCACUUAUAGAUGGAUCCGCGCCGCAUUAGCUAGUUGGUAAGGUAACGGCUUACCAAGGCAACGAUGCGUAGCCGACCUGAGAGGGUGAUAGGUCACACUGGAACUGAGACACGGUCCAGACUCCUACGGGAGGCAGCAGUAGGGAAUCUUCCGCAAUGGGCGAAAGCCUGACGGAGCAACGCCGCGUGAGUGAUGAAGGUCUUCGGAUCGUAAAACUCUGUUAUUAGGGAAGAACAAAUGUGUAAGUAACUAUGCACGUCUUGACGGUACCUAAUCAGAAAGCCACGGCUAACUACGUG
rnacentral:rRNA from 1 species